rnacentral:rRNA from 1 species
CUAACACAUGCAAGUCGAGGGGCAGCGGGGAGGUAGCAAUACCUUUGCCGGCGACCGGCGCACGGGUGAGUAACACGUAUGCAAUCCACCUGUAACAGGGGGAUAACCCGGAGAAAUCCGGACUAAUACCCCAUAAUAUGGGCUCUCCGCAUGGAGGGUCCAUUAAAGAGAGCAAUUUUGGUUACAGACGAGCAUGCGCUCCAUUAGCCAGUUGGCGGGGUAACGGCCCACCAAAGCGACGAUGGAUAGGGGUUCUGAGAGGAAGGUCCCCCACAUUGGAACUGAGACACGGUCCAAACUCCUACGGGAGGCAGCAGUGAGGAAUAUUGGUCAAUGGUCGGCAGACUGAACCAGCCAAGUCGCGUGAGGGAAGACGGCCCUACGGGUUGUAAACCUCUUUUGUCGGAGAGUAAAGUACGCUACGUGUGGCGUAUUGCAAGUAUCCGAAGAAAAAGCAUCGGCUAACUCCGUGCCAGCAGCCGCGGUAAUACGGAGGAUGCAAGCGUUAUCCGGAUUUAUUGGGUUUAAAGGGUGCGUAGGCGGCACGCCAAGUCAGCGGUGAAAUUUCCGGGCUCAACCCGGACUGUGCCGUUGAAACUGGCGAGCUAGAGUGCACAAGAGGCAGGUGGAAUGCGUGGUGUAGCGGUGAAAUGCAUAGAUAUCACGCAGAACCCCGAUUGCGAAGGCA